rnacentral:rRNA from 1 species
CUAGCUGUAAACGAUAGAUACUAGGCGUUGAGAGUAUCGACCCUCUCAGCGUCGUAGCUAACGCGUUAAGUAUCCCGCCUGGGGAGUACGCGCGCAAGCGUGAAACUCAAAGGAAUUGACGGGGGCCCGCACAAGCGGUGGAGUAUGUGGUUUAAUUCGAUGCAACGCGAAGAACCUUACCAGGGCUUGACAUGUCCGGAACCCUGCCCAAAGGCGGGGGUGCCUACGGGAACCGGAACACAGGUGGUGC